rnacentral:tRNA from 1 species
GAGGGGUUUUGAUCUCCUAAUUAUAGGUUCAAUACCUAU